rnacentral:misc_RNA from 1 species
GAUGAAGAACGCAGCGAAAUGCGAUAAGUAGUGUGAAUUGCAGAAUUCAGUGAAUCAUCGAAUCUUUGAACGCACAUUGCGCCCCUUGGUAUUCCAUGGGGCAUGCCUGUUCGAGCGUCAUUUGUACCUUCAAGCUUUGCUUGGUGUUGGGUGUUUGUCUCGCCUUUGCGUGUAGACUCGCCUUAAAAUAAUUGGCAGCCGGCGUAUUGAUUUCGGAGCGCAGUACAUCUCGCGCUUUGCACUCAUAACGACAGCGUCCAAAAGUACAUUUUACACUCUUGAUCUCGGAUCAGGUAGGGAUACCCGCUGAACUUAAGCAUAUCAAUAAGCGGAGGA